rnacentral:rRNA from 1 species
UAGCUAGUUGGUGAGGUAAAGGCUUACCAAGGCGACGAUCUGUAGCGGGUCUGAGAGGAUGAUCCGCCACACUGGAACUGAGACACGGUCCAGACUCCUACGGGAGGCAGCAGUGGGGAAUUUUGGACAAUGGGGGCAACCCUGAUCCAGCCAUGCCGCGUGAGUGAAGAAGGCCUUCGGGUUGUAAAGCUCUUUCGGCCGGGAAGAAAUCGCGUGGGCCAAUACCCUGUGUGGAUGACGGUACCGGAAUAAGAAGCACCGGCUAACUACGUGCCAGCAGCCGCGGUAAUACGUAGGGUGCGAGCGUUAAUCGGAAUUACUGGGCGUAAAGCGUGCGCAGGCGGUUUUGUAAGACAGGCGUGAAAUCCCCGGGCUUAACCUGGGAACUGCGUUUGUGACUGCAAGGCUAGAGUACGGCAGAGGGGGGUGGAAUUCCACGUGUAGCAGUGAAAUGCGUAGAGAUGUGGAGGAACACCAAUGGCGAAGGCAGCCCCCUGGGUCGAUACUGACGCUCAUGCACGAAAGCGUGGGUAGCAAACAGGAUUAGAUACCCUGGUAGUCCACGCCCUAAACUAUGUCAACUAGGUGUUGGGUGGGUAAAACCAUUUAGUCCGUAGCUAACGCGUGAAGUUGACCGCCUGGGGAGUACGGCCGCAAGGUUAAAACUCAAAGGAAUCGACGGGGACCCGCACAAGCGGUGGAUGAUGUGGAUUAAUUCGAUGCAACGCGAAAAACCUUACCUACCCUUGACAUGCCAGGAACUUGCCAGAGAUGGCUUGGUGCCCGAAAGGGAGCCUGGACACAGGUGCUGCAUGGCUGUCGUCAGCUCGUGUCGUGAGAUGUUGGGUUAAGUCCCGCAACGAGCGCAACCCUUGUCGUUAAUUGCCAUCAUUUGGUUGGGCACUUUAACGAGACUGCCGGUGACAAACCGGAGGAAGGUGGGGAUGACGUCAAGUCCUCAUGGCCCUUAUGGGUAGGGCUUCACACGUCAUACAAUGGUCGGUACAAAGGGUUGCCAAGCCGCGAGGCGGAGCCAAUCCCAGAAAGCCGAUCGUAGUCCGGAUUGCAGGCUGCAACUCGCCUGCAUGAAGUCGGAAUCGCUAGUAAUCGUGGAUCAGCAUGUCACGGUGAAUACGUUCCCGGGUCUUGUACACACCGCCCGUCACACCAUGGGAGCGGGUUCCGCCAGAAGUAGGUAGCCUAACCGCAAGGGGGGCGCUUACCACGGCGGGGUUCGUGACUGGGGUGAAGUCGUAACAAGGUAGCCGUAGGGGAACCUGCGGCUG